AUACGGGGGAUGCAAGCGUUAUUCGGAAUCAUUGGGCGUAAAGGGCACGCAGGCGGUUCUGUCAGUCAGAUGUGAAAGCCCGGGGCUUAACCCCGGACGUGCAUUUGAAACAGCAGGACUUGAGUAUGGUAGAGGAAAGCGGAAUUCCUGGUGUAGAGGUGAAAUUCGUAGAUAUCAGGAGGAACACCGGUGGCGAAGGCGGCUUUCUGGACCAAAACUGACGCUGAGGUGCGAAGGCGUGGGGAGCAAACAGGAUUAGAAACCCUAGUAGUCC
rnacentral:rRNA from 1 species